GGAUUGCCUGGGUUUCCAGGGGCUCGAGGUUUCAAAGGUCCAAAAGGGGACAUCUACAUAAUGGAUAUCAAAGGAAAGAAGGGAGCAAUGGGCCCCUGAGGGCCUCCUGGUCAACAGGGAGCCACAGGAAUGAGGGGACAAGAUGGUUUCUCAGGCGCACCUGGCGAUGAAGCCCCAGAGGGGGAUAGCUAUCCAGGGUUUCCUGGUGAGAGAGGCUAUCCAGGAUUCGAUGGGCCUAAAGGGUUCCCCGGGCCCGCUGGUUCCCCAGGUUUGGAUGUCAUAGGUGCUGUGUGACUCAGGGGGCCCCCGGGGGAUGCGGGACCCCCAGGAUUCAGGGGGCCUGUUGGCCCAA